rnacentral:rRNA from 1 species
CCAAGGAGUCUAACAUGUGCGCGAGUCAUUGGGACUGCGAAGCCUAAAGGCGCAAUGAAAGUGAAGGUCGUCUUGACGACCGAGGGAGGAUGGGUCGCGAAAGCGGCCCCGCACUCCCGGGGCGUCUCGUUCUCAUUGCGAGAAGAGGCGCACCCAGAGCGUACACGUUGGGACCCGAAAGAUGGUGAACUAUGCCUGGUCAGGACGAAGUCAGGGGAAACCCUGAUGGAGGUCCGUAGCGAUUCUGACGUGCAAAUCGAUCGUCGGAACUGGGUAUAGGGGCGAAAGACUAAUCGAACCAUCUAGUAGCUGGUUCCCUCCGAAGUUUCCCUCAGGAUAGCUGGCACUCGCGUGUUCUCAGAACUUGCGCGAGUCUCAUCCGGUAAAGCGAAUGAUUAGAGGCCUUGGGGCCGAAACGACCUCAACCUAUUCUCAAACUUUAAAUGGGUGAGAUCUCUGGCUUGCUUGAACGUGAAGCCACGAGAUUUCGGAUCAGAGUGCCAAGUGGGCCACUUUU